GAUGGCAUGACAGGUAAUAGGGAUGCAGGCCAUGUCAUGACUGGAGGAGCCUUAAACUCUAAUCAUGUUGUAGAGGCGGGAGUGUUUGGAAUGGCGCAACAAGGAUAUUGUAACAAUAAUAGUUGGCAAUGGAUGCAUCUAAGAGACACACAUCCACAUGCGAGCUUACCACUUCAAGGCAUGUUUCAACCGUGGAAUGUUACAACGUCUCAACAAAGGGAAUUCCUCUCAAAUGAUUUCUUAAUGUCACAGGAGGCUUCUUCAUUACAAAUGUUUGCAUCUCCGACAAUAACUACAAGCCAACAAGUUGUGAGUUCGUCAACAUCAAACAUUAUGAAGUAAUCGACAUUGUAAAAAGCAGUGGUUCACUAAGUAUUUUGAAGUUGCUAGUGUGAACUAAACAACGCAUCCUAAGCUUAAUUGGGCGAGGCCACGGAAAAAGAAACCUUCUUCUGCCAUGCAGCGUAAGUCCGUGCCUAUCCGCAACUUGUUUGUUGCAAAUUUUUCAUACGAAAUCACGGAUGAGGAUCUUAAGGAGUUUUUCAAUUCUGAUAAUGCCAAUGUUGUUUUUGCGGAAAUUAUAUUUCAUGAAAAUCCAAGGUCUGUUGGGUAUGGAUUUGUAUUCUCCAAUUCCAAGGAGGCUGAAGCUACUCUCACUGCUUUUGAAGGAAAGUUAUGUAUAGGAAGACCAAUUUGAGUGGCUCCUAGCAGAAGAUUUUUGAGACAAGCAACGAAAAUGAGUACUCAAUUGGCGAAUGCGUCAAAUAAACCAAACCCUGAUGCUGAACAAGCAGAAGCCCUUGAAGCUUGAUGGUGAAUUUUCUUGGACAGUUUAGGUUUUUCAGUUUUUUCUUUUGAGGUUGUAAAAGAUACUAAGAUAUGUGUAACCAGUUAUUUGUUUAAUUAAUGUAUGCCCCCACUCACCCAAAAAUGGGGGUGGGAGGACUCCUUUUACUCUACUGUAGUUUCUU